rnacentral:ncRNA from 2 species
AACCGCCGUAUACCGAUCGGUACGUACGGUGGUGUGAGAGGUCGGGGAUUAAUCAUCCCCUCCUACUCGAU